rnacentral:tRNA from 1 species
UCAUCGGUGGUUCAGUGGUAGAAUUCUUGCCUUCCAUGCGGAAGACCUGGGUUCGAUUCCUGGCCAAGGCA